rnacentral:rRNA from 1 species
UUAAGACUAAGACGUUGAUAGGCUGGGUGUGUAAGCGUAGCGAUACGUUGAGCUAACCAGUACUAAUGAACCGUGAGGCUUAACCUG